rnacentral:lncRNA from 1 species
ACAAUGCAGACCAUCUGAACUUCAUUGUCUAGGUGAGUGAGGAUGGUGUCCCUAACAUUUGUGUUCUUGUCUUCUCUUUGCAGGUAUAAGGUUCAGAUCUUUGCUUGUGACACAGAUAUGGGAUGAUGUGAUAUUAAAGACAUUCUUAUACUUAAAUGGCUACAUAAUUCAUGAUUUCUCCUUUAUAUUUACUUUGUUUUUGACAUGUAAUCAGUUAGGAAUUUAACUUUCUCUAAUAAUACUAGUCAGAAUGGGAUUUUUUAUGUUUUUCUUUAAAGAUAUGUGUUGAGCAUAGUAGUGAUGGAUAGAUUUGCAGAGGGGACAUUGCUAAUGUCAAGGUCAGUGAUGAUGGAGCCUAAACCAGAGCAUAGGCCAUCAGAUCUCCAGGUAUCUGAGUAAGUGAUAAUGUAUUCUAACACUUCUUAUUACCAUGAUUUUUUUUUUCAGGCAUCAGGGUAAAAAAUUAAAUAGAGUCCUUAUAAAUCUAGAAAACAAUAGUUUUCACUUUCUAUCUUAGAAAAAGUUGAACACUCUUUGGUGUUGAGUGAUUGCACAUAUGCAGAUAUUUAAUAUGGUUUUCCCACUACAGUACUGCCAUAGUUUUGUUUUCUUUUUAAACAGUUGUCCAGUCAAGAAACUCUGGCUUCCCAACAUUGGUGUUGACCUUGGAUUAGUGAAAGUAUCCAGGUAGAGUUGAUGUGUCUCAUAAUGGUGACGUGAUCAAGGUGUCUGGACAGAAAGGAUACAUCUUGUGUAUUUUCCAGGUUCCUGUCCAGAUAUCACUCUGAAACAAGGAUUGAUGUUAACGGUGGCCACUGUUGGAGUCCAGGUUCCUGUCAAGAGAGAGACAUUCUGGUGGUUGUUCUCUGGGGACAUUUCUGUGCCCAGGUAUGUAAUGAUGUGCACCUUCCCCUAACAGACAUCUCAUCUUCUCAUAUCUAGGUCAGUGUUAGGAUUGAAUAAACUUAUUUACCAUGUGUUUUAUUUUCAAGAAGUCAGGUAAGAAAUCAUAGUAUGUUUACCAGUUGUAGCAAUCCUGAUAUGCUACUGUCUGUGAUCUUAGAGAAAAUGUAUGCUUAGUCAUGGGAGUGUUGAGUGGCUGGUGGGUAUCCACACCAUGACAGUGGAAUUGUGUGGUACACUAGUAACCAUGGUGCUUUGGCAAGUAAGCUGGGAAGAGAUGAUGCUGUGUCUAAAUUUGGCAUAGAUCUUGGAGUCCUACAUGAAUCCAGGGAGAACCGAUGGGUCCUGCAGUGAUGGCCACCCAUAAGGCUGUUUGAAAUUUCCUGGUAGAAAAGGUACGUCCAUAGACAUAUCUGUCACAAAGGGCUUUUUACAGUCUGGUCAAGAAGUCAUGGUGAAUCUCAAAAUGAUCUUGAAUGGAACUUUGCUUCUCUCCAGAUAAGUGUUCCUAUGGCAUUUAGCACCUAUAAUAUGAUCUUCAGAUAUGUAGGUCUGAGGGAGGGUGUUCCUAAUUAUUCUGUUACCAUCUUGUUUUAUUUAAGCAGCUAUUCAUUUAAGAAGUGGCAUUUUCCAUCACAACCUUGUAGAUCAACUAUAGUUCAGUAAAACUUUAAAAAAUGGAAAAAAAAAAGAAAAUUGACAUAGUCACAACUAGUGCUUGUAUUUGCCUUUUUUUUUUUUUUUAAGAUUUUUGAUAUAGUGUGUAUUUAAACUUAGUAGUAACAGAGGGUUAUUCAGGUCCAGGUAAUUUAUUCUACUUUUGCAGUGUUAACCAUGACAUUUCUACAGAUUCUCCUAGAAGAGAUGAUACUGUGCCUCACAAUGGUGUUGACCUUAAAGUUCUUCCAAGGUUCAUAUAGUGCAUAUGCUCCUCUAAUGAUGGAAGCAAGCAAGAUUAUCUUCAAAGGUACUUAUUUGGCAGAUAAAUAAGAAUGUCCUUUAACACAGUUGUCUAAUGCAUUUCUCAAGGUUCUAGUCAGCAUCGUGAAUAUAAUUAACCAAAUAAUAGUUGUCAGUGGGACCUUGUUAGAAACCAGGUUGGUGAAAAGGUGGCUUACAGCCCAGUACAGAUCAUUAGAUGUUCAGUUAUCGAGCACGUAAGAAUGGUGUCUAACACAGUGCACCACACUUUUUUGUAGGUUUCCCAUUACUUUCUUUGUCUAGUGUACAGGUAUGAGAUGAUGUGACAUUAAUUCAUUAGAUACCGUCGUUUCUUCAGAUACGUAGGUAGUGAUGUUGACCUUGAAGAUCUUUCAAGAUCCACAGAGUAUCAAGGAUUCCCCUGAUGAUAGAAAAAUAACCAGAAGUAAUUACGUGUAUUCUUCAGGUAAAACAUUUUUUUCCUUAAAACCCUUGUCAGUUGUGUUCUUACAUGUUAUAGUAGUGAUGACCCUAUAGCAGACCUAGGAAUGGUCAUCAAUGGGACCCUGCUAGUAACCAGGUAAGUGAUAUUGAGGGUCUUGCAGCCCAAUAUAGACCAUCUGGUCUUCAGAUGUCUGUGUAAGUGAGGAUGAUGUCCCUAACACCAGACACAGUGAUACUGUGUUUUUUCCUGCAGGUACCCUGUUAAAGUGUUUGCUAGUAUGAAGGUAUUUUCAGAUAGAUAAGGAAUAAAUGAUAUUUUGCAGACACUUUAUAGUUUAUCUUACACUUAACUAUAUUAACUAUAUUUUUGGCUUGUAUGCAGUAAAGCUAUUAAUCUGUCAUUAACAUACUCGUAAGCAUAAUAUUUUCCUAUAUUCGAGUUCCAGAAUAGCAUUUUACCCACCUCUACUGACAAAAGGAUAUGCGGAUAUCCAGGAAAUUUAUCAUACUGUUCAUCACCGCAAUAUAGACCGUAGAAUUUCGAGGUAGCCUUUCAAGAGAAGAAGGCAUCUCUUACUAAGAUUUAGUCCAGGUAAUGGUGAUGAGUCUCACAGUUAUGCAGUGGAACAAAGGGAUCUGAAGGUGGACACUAGAAUGAUAUGUACUUCAAGCACAUCCUCUAAAUGCGUCUUCGGGUUCGUGAUGGUAAGCAUCUCAAUGUAGUUAAAGUUGCUGGUAUCUAGGUGAGUGAUGGUGUGGGCCUAACCCACAUCAUAGACCAUCUCUGCCUCAUGUAUGUGGGUAAGUGAAUAUGCUUGCCUUCCUAACACUUCUUCUUAAAAAGAUUUUUUUGCAGGUAUUCAGCUGAGAAAUACUAAGAGUUCAUACUAAUUCCAAUAACCAUGAGUUUACGCUUUGUGUAUUUUAGUGAAAAUAUGUUUUAUCUUGUAAGUAUUGAGGAGUCAGUUAUGUUCCCAGUAGUUGUUGUGAAGUCUCCUCACUGUUGUAACCAUUGGAUUUUUACAGGAAUCCAGGAAAGUGAUACUGAUCUCUUCUGACAGCAGUGUUGACCUCGAAUGAAUGCAGAGAUCCAGGUAGCAAUGAUGUGUUCCAUGAUAACGGAGGUGCACACGGUUAGAUGCAGGUGUCCUGGUAGAACAGUGUUUGUCUUACACAGAUUUGUUGCAUGUAUUUCUUCAGGAUCCUGUUAAGACAACAGGGUAAACCUAGCAGUGUGAUGACUAACAAAAGCUUUCUAGUAACCAGGUAAGUGUGAAAGUGGGUCUCACCACAGUGCACACCAUCUGAACUUCAGGGUCUAGGUGAAUGAGGAUGGUGUCCCUAAUAUUUGUGUUCAUGUCUUCUUUUUGCAGGUGUCAGGUUCAGAUCUUUCCUUGUCACACAAGGAUGAGAUGAGGGGAUAUUCACUAAUUAAAGACAUUGUUAUAUUCCGAUGGCUACGUGAUUCAUGAUCAGUCUUUUAUAUUUACUUUGUUUUUGGCAUGUUAUCAGAUUUGGCUUUCCAACAUUGGUAUUGACCUUGAAUUACUGCAAGUAACCAGGUAGAGUUGAUGUGUCUCAUAAUGGUGACGUGACCAAGAUGUGUAGGUAGAAAGGACACAUUUCCUAUCUUUUACAGGUUUGUGUCCACACAUCACUCUGAACUGAGCAUUAAUGUUAACAGGGGACACGGUCGGGGUCCAGGUUUGUGAUGAUUGUGACCCUGUCACUUGUUACCAUGGCUUCUCUGCAGGUAUUCAGGUAAUGGUUGAUUCCUUACCAGUUCUUAAUACCAUGAACUUUCAGUUUUCAUGCUUUAGAGAAUAUCUUUAACUCUGUGACUCAUGAGCAAUUACACAUAGCAGGUAUUGAUUAUGAUUGCUCAAGCACAGUAGUGAUCAUGGAAUUUCUGCAGGUAUCUUGUAAAGAAGUGUUAUUUCCUGACAAGGGUCAUGCCCUAGGAGAACUGCAAAUAUUCAAGUAGAGUUGAUCAUAAUGCUGUCAAUGACGGAGCUUGUUUGCAAGUGUCCUAGUAGAGUAAGCUAUGUCCUUUUAUACGUGUAUCAUAAUGUGCUUUUCAGGUUCUGCCAAGAGAUGAAUAUUCAUUCUGAUGGUCAUUCUCUGGGGACAUUUCUUUGUCUGGGUAGGUAAUGAUGUGCACCUUUCCCAGCAGACAUUGCAUCUUCUCAUAUCUAGGUCUCUGUUCGGAUUGACUAAAUUUACUUAUCAUGUGGAUUUUUUCAGGUAAUCAGAUAAGAAAUGAUAGUAUUUUUACCAAUGGUAGCAAUCCUGAUAUGCUGCUGUUUGCAAUUUUAGAAAAAAAAAUGUAUGCUUACUCAUGGGAGUGUUCAUUGGCUCUUGAAUAUCCACAUCAUGAUGGUGGAAUUGUGUGGCACAGCAGUAACCAUGGUGCUUUUGCCAGGGGGCUGGGAGGAGAUGCUGGCGUGUCGAACUUUGGCAUAAAGCUUGGAGUCCUGCAUGAAGCCAGAGAGAACCGAUGGGUCCUGCAGUGAUGGCUACACACAGGGUUAUUUGAAGAGUCCUAGUAGAAAUUGUGCCUCCAUACACAUAACUGUCACAAGGGGCUCUUUGCAUUCUAGUCAAGAAAUCACAGUGAAUCUGAAAAUGAUCCUGAAUAGGCCUUUGAUGUCUCCAGAUAUUCAUUUCAGAAAUUAAUCACAAACUUGUCAGAUUCCCUGUUGUGGCUCAGUGGUAAUGAACCUGACUAGUAUACAUGAGGACUCAUGUUCGGUCCCUGGCCUCGCUCAGUGGGUUAAGGAUCCGGCGUUGCUAUGGUGAGCUACAGUGUAGGUCGCAGACAUGGCUCGGAUCUGUCAUUGCUGUGGCUGUGGCUUAGGCUGGUGGCUGUAGCUCCAGUUUGAGCCCUAGCCUGGGAACUAUGCUGUGGUUGUGGACCUAAAAAGACCAAGAAAAAAAAA